rnacentral:lncRNA from 1 species
AUGGGGCUGGGGGCCGCGGUGGGUGGCGCUACCGAGGCCCUGGGCGGGGCGUCUCGGCAGUACCGAGACGGCAGGGAGAAGGCGGGGCCUCUGGAGGGGGCGGGGUCCAGCCCUCCAACAUGGCGGAGGCGGUCUCGGUUCUCACUGCAGCUCCUUUGUUCGACCGCCGCAGUGCUGGAGGGAGAGCGCGCCAAACUGGGUCAGCCCCGCCUCUGGCUCCCAGAAGAGGGCGUGAUUUUAGCCCCGCCUCCAAUCCCUGCCUUCCCGCCCCCGCUCUCCCCGCAGCCUGGGGUUAGAGGCCUCUUCACCUCGAGGGGAGGGGGACUGCGGACGAGCGUCCGGCGCGGUCCCCACCAAUCCCUUUACACAUCCUUGGAGGAGGAGGAGGGGCUGAAAGGGGAGGGAGGAAGCUUGGCGAAGCUUAUGAAUAUAAAUCAGCGUCCAGAUUUGGACUCCUUCGAUUGGCCCUCUGGGCUCAGGGGGUGGGGCUACGGGGCGUGGCUUCGCGGCGGGGUAUAUAAGACCGAGCUCUUGGGCGCGCCGCUCAUUUUCCCGUUAGGAGGCUCAGGUCGUUCUGGUCUUUUCGCUGACACCGCUUAUCCUUCCCGUCCUAUCCUACACACCGGUGAGGGAGCCCGCCUCCGGCCACUCGGCUGGGCCUGCGGAGCUGGGAGGGCCUGGGGUGGUUGGGGUCUGGCUGGAGGGGAGGCAAGGCAAAGGGAGGAGACGGCGGGCGGCCCGGCGCCUGGGCGGAGACGGGCCCGGGCACCGGCACGCCCCCCCCGGGAUGGGGCUGUGGUCUGGACUGUGCGGCCCGCUGGGUCAGGGUGGGUUCCGCAGCAGCGGCGGCCAACAGCCGAAGUUAGAGCGCUGCUCUUGUUGUGUCCCAGGGGGCCUUCAGGGCGGACGGGUUCUCUGCGGCUUUGCCGCAAAAUGGCGGCUGAGAAUCUUGGCGGGCGCCAAACGAAAUGGCGGGGACCGCCAGAGAUACCCGGAUGGAAUGGCGCAGGGAGGCGAGGAGGGGGCUCCUCACGCAUGCGCAGAAAGAGGCGGCCGCUAAUUGGGAGGAGGGGAUUGGGGGAGGGAGACCCUGGGGGGAACCGUACCAGAAAAGAGAGGGGCCCUGAUUUAAAGAGGAGGCUGGGGGAACUCGAGAAUUAG